rnacentral:rRNA from 1 species
GGUUAAGCGACUAAGCGUACACGGUGGAUGCCCUGGCAGUCAGAGGCGAUGAAGGACGUGCUAAUCUGCGAAAAGCGUCGGUAAGGUGAUAUGAACCGUUAUAACCGGCGAUGUCCGAAUGGGGAAACCCAGUGCAAUUCGUUGCACUAUCGUUAACUGAAUACAUAGGUUAACGAGGCGAACCGGGGGAACUGAAACAUCUAAGUACCCCGAGGAAAAGAAAUCAACCGAGAUUCCCCCAGUAGCGGCGAGCGAACGGGGAGCAGCCCAGAGUCUGAAUCAGCUUGUGUGUUAGUGGAACGGUCUGGAAAGUCCGACGGUACAGGGUGAUAGUCCCGUACACCAAAAUGCACAGGUUGUGAACUCGAAGAGUAGGGCGGGACACGUGGUAUCCUGUCUGAAUAUGGGGGGACCAUCCUCCAAGGCUAAAUACUCCUGACUGACCGAUAGUGAACCAGUACCGUGAGGGAAAGGCGAAAAGAACCCCGGCGAGGGGAGUGAAAAAGAACCUGAAACCGUGUACGUACAAGCAGUGGGAGCACCUUCGGGUGUGACUGCGUACCUUUUGUAUAAUGGGUCAGCGACUUAUAUUCUGUAGCAAGGUUAACCGUAUAGGGGAGCCGCAGGGAAACCGAGUCUUAACUGGGCGUUAAGUUGCAGGGUAUAGACCCGAAACCCGGUGAUCUAGCCAUGGGCAGGUUGAAGGUUGGGUAACACUAACUGGAGGACCGAACCGACUAAUGUUGAAAAAUUAGCGGAUGACUUGUGGCUGGGGGUGAAAGGCCAAUCAAACCGGGAGAUAGCUGGUUCUCCCCGAAAGCUAUUUAGGUAGCGCCUCGUGAACUCAUCUUCGGGGGUAGAGCACUGUUUCGGCUAGGGGGUCAUCCCGACUUACCAACCCGAUGCAAACUACGAAUACCGAAGAAUGUUAUCACGGGAGACACACGGCGGGUGCUAACGUCCGUCGUGAAGAGGGAAACAACCCAGACCGCCAGCUAAGGUCCCAAAGUCAUGGUUAAGUGGGAAACGAUGUGGGAAGGCACAGACAGCCAGGAUGUUGGCUUAGAAGCAGCCAUCAUUUAAAGAAAGCGUAAUAGCUCACUGGUCGAGUCGGCCUGCGCGGAAGAUGUAACGGGGCUAAACCAUGCACCGAAGCUGCGGCAGCGACACUAUGUGUUGUUGGGUAGGGGAGCGUUCUGUAAGCCUGCGAAGGUGUGCUGUGAGGCAUGCUGGAGGUAUCAGAAGUGCGAAUGCUGACAUAAGUAACGAUAAAGCGGGUGAAAAGCCCGCUCGCCGGAAGACCAAGGGUUCCUGUCCAACGUUAAUCGGGGCAGGGUGAGUCGACCCCUAAGGCGAGGCCGAAAGGCGUAGUCGAUGGGAAACAGGUUAAUAUUCCUGUACUUGGUGUUACUGCGAAGGGGGGACGGAGAAGGCUAUGUUAGCCGGGCGACGGUUGUCCCGGUUUAAGCAUGUAGGCUGGUUAUCCAGGCAAAUCCGGAUAAUCAAGGCUGAGGUGUGAUGACGAGGCACUACGGUGCUGAAGUAACAAAUGCCCUGCUUCCAGGAAAAGCCUCUAAGCAUCAGGUAACAUUAAAUCGUACCCCAAACCGACACAGGUGGUCAGGUAGAGAAUACCAAGGCGCUUGAGAGAACUCGGGUGAAGGAACUAGGCAAAAUGGUGCCGUAACUUCGGGAGAAGGCACGCUGGUGUGUAGGUGAAGUCCCUGCGGAUGGAGCUGAGACCAGUCGAAGAUACCAGCUGGCUGCAACUGUUUAUUAAAAACACAGCACUGUGCAAACACGAAAGUGGACGUAUACGGUGUGACGCCUGCCCGGUGCCGGAAGGUUAAUUGAUGGGGUUAUCCGUAAGGAGAAGCUCUUGAUCGAAGCCCCGGUAAACGGCGGCCGUAACUAUAACGGUCCUAAGGUAGCGAAAUUCCUUGUCGGGUAAGUUCCGACCUGCACGAAUGGCGUAAUGAUGGCCAGGCUGUCUCCACCCGAGACUCAGUGAAAUUGAACUCGCUGUGAAGAUGCAGUGUACCCGCGGCAAGACGGAAAGACCCCGUGAACCUUUACUAUAGCUUGACACUGAACAUUGAGCCUUGAUGUGUAGGAUAGGUGGGAGGCUUUGAAGCGUGGACGCCAGUCUGCGUGGAGCCAACCUUGAAAUACCACCCUUUAAUGUUUGAUGUUCUAACGUUGGCCCCUUACCGGGGUUGCGGACAGUGUCUGGUGGGUAGUUUGACUGGGGCGGUCUCCUCCCAAAGCGUAACGGAGGAGCACGAAGGUUAGCUAAUCCUGGUCGGACAUCAGGAGGUUAGUGCAAUGGCAUAAGCUAGCUUGACUGCGAGCGUGACGGCGCGAGCAGGUGCGAAAGCAGGUCAUAGUGAUCCGGUGGUUCUGAAUGGAAGGGCCAUCGCUCAACGGAUAAAAGGUACUCCGGGGAUAACAGGCUGAUACCGCCCAAGAGUUCAUAUCGACGGCGGUGUUUGGCACCUCGAUGUCGGCUCAUCACAUCCUGGGGCUGAAGUAGGUCCCAAGGGUAUGGCUGUUCGCCAUUUAAAGUGGUACGCGAGCUGGGUUUAGAACGUCGUGAGACAGUUCGGUCCCUAUCUGCCGUGGGCGCUGGAGAAUUGAGGGGGGCUGCUCCUAGUACGAGAGGACCGGAGUGGACGCAUCACUGGUGUUCGGGUUGUCAUGCCAAUGGCACUGCCCGGUAGCUAAAUGCGGAAGAGAUAAGUGCUGAAAGCAUCUAAGCACGAAACUUGCCCCGAGAUGAGUUCUCCCUGAGACUUUAAGUCUCCUGAAGGAACGUUGAAGACGACGACGUUGAUAGGCCGGGUGUGUAAGCGCAGCGAUGCGUUGAGCUAACCGGUACUAAUGAACCGUGAGGCUUAACCUU